rnacentral:tRNA from 1 species
AAGCCCUGCGGUGUCAGACACGCCGAAUUGCAAAUUCGGAGAGGCAAGCGAAGGUUUGUCGGGGCUUC